AAAACUCUGUCAAGCCUCGCCCAAACAAAGCCCCCACCUUCUUGGUUAUUCGACCUGGUAUACUUGCUGCCCUCAUAACCGCAGUCAAUGAUGCCACAAUCAUUAAUCAUUGUAUUGAAUUCCUCUAAAGAUACAAGAUUUGGAGGUCUGCCACCAAGUUUUUCAGACACAGAUGAAAUUGCGUUAAAAUCACCCGCAACCAUCCAUGGAACUUGUAUGUCUUAGGACAGUAAUUGAAGUUUUUACCAAAGAAGCCGUUGAAUGGAGCACUUUGCAUAAACAAUGGUAAGCCUUACCAGAUCAGAAUGUUGGAAGCCGAUGUCGACUGUGAUACACUGUUCAAAGGCGUCGACAAGCACUACAUUCACUUCAUGAUUCCAACAGAGCCAUAUUUUCUCAUCUGCCUCUUGAUUUGCCAAUGAAAAGUGGAAACCAAUUCUGUUGGAGAAUUCCUGAAUCUUAUUAGCAUGGUGAAGAGGUUCAAGAAUAGCAAUCAACGAUAUAUUAUACAUCUUUACAAGCUUGGCAACCCUCCUUCUUGAUUUGAUGUUGCCUAUGCCUCUGAUAUUCCACAAGAGGUUAUUAAUCAUGGCUAACAAUGGAAUGGAAGAAGUUUAAGAAGAACGAGCCAACGCUCUAGUAACCCUUCUGGAGCUCUUCAAGUUCGAUUCUUGUACUUUGACAGAUGUAUCUGGCUGCUCCUUGUAGGAUUCAGAAGCUUUAGAUAACACUUGAGAGAAUUCCUUACACAUGGUCAAAAAUUCCUGCAAACAAAGAAGUCUUUGCUUCUCUCAUAGGUUCAGAGUCCGAUAAGUAUCCCUUAGUCUGAUCAGCUUGUUCCUUUGGAACGUUAGCAUCAUCUUAGGAUUUCAGUAAAACAAGGGAUAUAUUAGACUCCAUGGUGUUUAUGAGUUCAUGAUCAGGCUGAGAGAUAAUAGGCAUAAUAGCCUGAAUACCAGAAUUAUCAACAUUGGAAUUGUUAGCAGCCAGAGAUGAGUCAAUGGCAUCUACUAUUACCUGAUGAGAAGAAUCAACCCUCAACUGAGAAUCAUGAGAAGCAGUACUGGUUCAAGGAUCGGCAGAAAGAUGUAUGUGCUGAGAAAUUGAUUUAUUAACAUAAAAAAAGAAAAAAGAUUCUGCUCCGAUCUGCAGUUUUUUUUUGAAGAUUAUAUGUAUUAUCAAAGGAUGAUUGGAUGGUGUUGUCCGUUGGCCUGUAGACUUGACGUGGGGGAGCUUUUUCUCCUUGACCUUGUGCAGAUUUAUUCCGUCAGGCAUUAGAGUUAGGAGCUGACGGCUGCAGGUUGGACUUCUCUUUGUUGGCUGCAUCAGUUGCACUGGAGUUUUUCGAACGAAGUUUGCAGUUUGACUUUGCAUGACCUUCUUUGGAACAAGACGUAAAAUACCAAAAGUCUUUCUCAUAGACGAUUUUCUGCCAUCUUCCUUCGUAUUGUCCCAUGUUUAACCAGACCCUAUUAGGGUUUUUCUUGAUAAGAUCCACCUCAACGCAUACUCUUGCGACACUGGGUCGAGAAAGCCUGGGGGUCGGACCAUCGAUUAACAGCACUUUGCCUACUACGUUUUCAAUAGAUCUAAGGUUGUAGUCUUGAAAAAAACAGAUCGGAAGAAGAUUCGGAAACUGAAUCCACAUAGGAACGAUUGAAGGUUCAGCCCCCGAUUUGAAGUCCGCAGACCAUUUAACGAACCUGAAGAGAGAAUCUUUUAUGUACGUUGCAUCUUUCAACCAAACCUUAAUGGUUUCCUCUGGAAAUGUUGGAAUAGAUAUCAGAGUCAAAAAAUUGACAGUGCAAUGCAAAAAAUGCUUUUUGGAGCUGACGCUCUUCUUUUUGUUACCAUUCUUCUAUCAAAUAAAAACUCGAACUCGAAGGAAAGAUAAGAGAGCUUCCCAUUCCGGAAAUAAAGAAAGAUGAAAUGCCAGAAAGCCUCAAGGGGGAAGAGGCAUUUUAUACUUCUGUCUCCCCUUCCGGUCAUCAAGGAAGAACUCGAACAAGAGCUCAAAGGCAUUCUUCUUUUUGUUGGUUCAUAGUCCACACGGGGUUCUGGUCUUGUUACUUUAUGUUUCGGAGUCAAUUGAUCCCUCGAUCAAGUCCUAACUAUCAAUAGAUUAAGAGAAGAAAAACGAGAAAUCGUUUGGUUUGGAUUCGAGGCGAAACCCUUCCCCGCCGUUACGGAGUUCUUCUGCUAUAAUCUCCGAAAUCGAGGGUCAGCUGACUGGGGAGUUAGUAUUGAUUCAUGCAAAGAUGCUCCUCUGAAGCUGAAGUAAGGGAUUGUCCACCUCACCGCCUCGAAGAGCAGUGGCUCUCUUGUUUUGCACGCCUACAGAGAGAGACUCCAAAAGUACCGACGCUCAAUCGAAAGAAAGAGCUUCACUUCAAACUAUAUGCUUAACUCAUGCCCCAGGAAUCCCUAGACAGAAGGGGGUACGAGCUACUCUUUUACUGGAGGGAAAGCUGGGGAAAAGCAUAGAGCGUGCGGGCUCAGC
rnacentral:lncRNA from 1 species